UCAACUGGGGAUCAUGAAGCAUCAAGUAGAAGAAUCUCACUGUAUAAGCUCCAGUCUUACUAGAUUUCCAUACCCAUCUAUCCCUAUAUGAGUUGAGAUGUUUGUGAUCUUGCAGCAUUUCCAUCAACCUAACAUGUUCCGUAAAUCUCCUGAUUGAGGAGAUCCCUCUGAAUGUAGCAUUUCCAUGGUUGAUUUUACAUAAAACAGAGAAUAGAUCAUACAUUUUAAUUUUAAUGUAAAUUACUACUUAAUCCACUAUAAGAUUGUAAACCAUAAUUUUGUGUUGUAAAAAAAUGAUUCACAUCAUAAAUGACCCAUAAUCUGGAUUGUGAGAUUUGGAACAGAAAAUGUUUUAGGGGUGGCGAUUUCUCCAGUCAAAGAAGACGCACCAUUGCCAAGAUUCCAUUGACCUGAUGUUCCAACAGAUGCUUUCAGACAACCGAACAAGCUGUAGUUGUUCAUCAGCCAAGCAAAAGUCAUACCCAAAUCUUGCGUUGUGAAUUUGUAUUAUUUGUGGAACCUAAUGUUGUGUAAUAGUUUGAUUGAGUUUGUUUUGAAAACUUUAAAUAGUAAACAAGUGAGAUUGAUUGUUUGAUUGAGUUGUUAACUA